rnacentral:rRNA from 1 species
GACGAACGCUGGCGGCGUGCUUAACACAUGCAAGUCGAACGGUGACCUCGAGAGCUUGCUCUUGGGUGAUCAGUGGCGAACGGGUGAGUAACACGUGAGGAACCUGCCCCAGACUCUGGAAUAACCCCGGGAAACCGGAGCUAAUACCGGAUAUGACAUCAGGCCGCAUGGUCAUGGUGUGGAAAGUUUUUCGGUCUGGGAUGGCCUCGCGGCCUAUCAGCUUGUUGGUGAGGUAGUGGCUCACCAAGGCGACGACGGGUAGCCGGCCUGAGAGGGCGACCGGCCACACUGGGACUGGGACACGGCCCAGACUCCUACGGGAGGCAGCAGUGGGGAAUAUUGCACAAUGGGCGAAAGCCUGAUGCAGCGACGCCGCGUGAGGGAUGACGGCCUUCGGGUUGUAAACCUCUUUUAGUAGGGAAGAAGGGCUUCGGCUUGACGGUACCUGCAGAAAAAGGACCGGCUAACUACGUGCCAGCCGCCGCGGUAACAC